rnacentral:rRNA from 1 species
AACGAACGCUGGCGGCAUGCCUAACACAUGCAAGUCGAACGAGACCUUCGGGUCUAGUGGCGCACGGGUGCGUAACGCGUGGGAACCUGCCCUUAGGUUCGGAAUAACUUCCCGAAAGGGGUGCUAAUACCGGAUAAUGUCUUCGGACCAAGGAUUUAUCGCCUUUGGAUGGGCCCGCGUUGGAUUAGCUAGUUGGUAGGGUAAAAGCCUACCAAGGCGACGAUCCAUAGCUGGUCUGAGAGGAUGAUCAGCCACACUGGGACUGAGACACGGCCCAGACUCCUACGGGAGGCAGCAGUGGGGAAUAUUGGACAGUGGGCGAAAGCCUGAUCCAGCAAUGCCGCGUGAGUGAUGAAGGCCUUAGGGUUGUAAAGCUCUUUUACCCGGGAUGAUAAUGACAGUACCGGGAGAAUAAGCUCCGGCUAACUCCGUG